rnacentral:rRNA from 1 species
AUCAAUCUGCAGCUAAAGAAAAAGUAGUAUCAAUCUGACAUGUGGACGGAGGCUGCGAAGAGCAGAGCCCACCAGUCAGCCUACCGGUCACAGGAGCAUCUCCCGCCGCCGGCCACGCAGCUCCGCCGGAUCCGGCCUACCUCCGCCCUAAAAGCGCCGCCGCCGUCGUCACGUGCAGCUCCACCACGGCCUGCGACAGCGCUGCGGCCAGACCAACAAAACGUGCGUGUGCUCCCCAAGCCUUUGCCAGGUCCGAGCA